rnacentral:tRNA from 1 species
CGGGACGUGGCGCAGCUUGGUCGCGCGCCUGGUUCGGGAUCAGGAGGUCGAGAGUUCGAAUCUCUCCGUCCCGACCA